AUGAUUCCAGGACCUGGAAUCAUACCAGCCGAUGGGUGGUGGUUUAUCGCUCGUUCAGCUGACGGCGGUCAUUUGAUGCUCAUUCGCACGUACCAAAUUGACCAAACCAUUACAUCAAACCACAUGCAGUACAAUGUCUGGGGCGUUCAUGACAUUGAUGGCUAUGGCUGCUUCGUGUUCGAGAAAGAUCCCAGCUCCGUUGGGCCAGGCUACCAUAUAACUGGAAUUAACCGAUGCAAGUCGAAGAAGGAUUGGCCGGUGCUGCCGGCUGGCGUCAAGUUCGAUCCCACAGAUCAGGAGCUGAUCGAGCACCUUGAGGCCAAAGUGAGUGCUGACAGCGCGAGAUCUCACCCUCUCAUCGAUUUGUUCAUACCAACCAUCAACAGCGAGCACGGCAUAUGCUACACCCAUCCUGAGAAACUUCCAGGUAUCACAUUGAGUGGCCUAAGCAAGCAUUUCUUACAGCGUAAUUCCAGGGCGUUCAAAAGGGGCACGUGGACGCGUCGCAAGGUACAGUCGGAGUGCGGCAUGCACGCGAUGUGGCACAACACCGGCAAUACCUUGCCGGCGAUGGUCAACGGCCGGCAGACGGGCAGCAAAAAGGUUCUGGUGCUGCACACCAACAAGAACUUCGACCAGCAGAGGACCAACUGGGUGAUGCACUAG
rnacentral:rRNA from 1 species